UUAUUUUAUACAUAAAAACCAAAAAAAUUUAUUUAUUUACCUACCUUCAAUGAGAAAAAUAGUUUUAGAAGCCGUAAUAAGUGAAAACCAAGAAAAAGAAUUCAAAAUGUUUAAAAAUUCACAUAUAAGAAAUUAAACAAUUUUAUUAAUUACAGCUUUAUAAUAUGAAACCGUUAUGCCCAAGUACAUAUUUAAGAGUACAAAUUAUUAAUUUGUAAUGAGCAGCAAUAAUUCUUCCGAAAGUGAGCCCUGUAAUCGAGAUAGGUCUACCUACAGAAAAAGAUUCUAAUAAAAAAAUGAAAGUUAUAAUUUACAAUCCACAACAAGUAAAAAGGAGAAUUAGAAGAACAGUUCUUCUAUUAAAAGAGAAGAAAAAUGAGCACUUCUUGAAUUAAUGAAAGGACAACUAAAUUUGGAGAAAACUUAACGAAAUACAAAAUUAGAAAAAUCGAAAUAUGAUAAAAAUAGGCGUAAGUUGGUUUUGCUCGUAAAAAAAAAAGACCCAAUUUGCCAUAAAAAUAAUAAAUCCCAUUAUAAUCACAUAGCUAUAAAAGCUGUUUCAAAAAGAAUUGCAAAUGAAAUGAAGCUUUAAGGAAUUCAAUGUAAGAUAAUUUGAGAGAUCAUUAAAGAUUCUUUUGCUAAAGGAAAAGGAUUGCAACAAGAAACAUAUCUGAGAAUUUCAAUAAUUUUUUCAAUGGUGAAAAUAACGAAUAGCCAAUUAAAAAAUUUAAAAAAUGGAGUGACACCAUGCCAGCUUUAUUUCAAAUAAUCUUGAUAAUGAAGGUGAAGAUAUUGAAAUAGUUGAGUCACUUUUAGAGAAUUAGUUAAGUCUGAAUGUCAGUAAUUGCUGAAAUAGUUAAUAUACCAACAAAUAACAUUACAAGCAAAUAUAUUAAAUAUUUACGUAGCAGAAUAAAUGGUUUGAAUUUUAAGAAAGAUUUAACUGAGAUGAGAUCAAUAUUGCGAAAUUGAAAGUAAAGUUACUUUACAAUAGUAUGCAUAUAGGCCAAUUGAUUAAGCUGACCUUAAGUAUCCAGUAGACACCAGAGUUGUGUACCCCUUUAGGCUGGGAGGAAACUUGCACAUUUUUCAUAAAAUCAAAUAAAAAUUUCUGAAAAUGUUAAUUUCAAAAUAAAUAACA